AUUUUCUUCCAUAGAGUAUCUAAGUUUUGCUUCACUAUUUUCUGGCAUUGAGUAUUGCUAUCUUACAACCUGAUUUCUUAAGGUUUUGUUUCUUUUUUAGCUGGAGGGGGAGUGUUGGCCUCCUGAAGGCUUCUAUUUUUAUCUUGAAAGACCACAAUAUUUACUUGCAUUCAUCUUGUGUUUACUAUAAGGUACUAAAGAGGAGGGCUCCCACCAUCAGCCCUGGCCACUAUAUGAUAUUACUCCAGCACUGCAAGGUUGCAUGAAUAUACACUCUUACUAGUAACGUGUGACAGUUUCUUCUGUCUACAAAACAAUGAGGAAAAGGUAGACAACCCAGCGAGAAAUGAGCCAGAUGCUUGAGUUAACAGAAAAUUAGAAAAUCCAAGAAAGUGGUUACCUCUGUGGAAGAUGGACAGGUAAGAAACUGGCGAGGAAUAAAUGUUGAUAUGGCAUAUAUACAAGAAAUACUCUCUUUUUGUUCUUGGUAAGUGAGUGCAGGCUGCCAUUGUAAUGUUUUAAUUCUUUAAGGAGUAUCAGUUCUACACACUUUUUUGUUUGCAUAAUUUAUUUUGUGAUGAGCUUUUUCUUUUUUAAAGUAGCCUGCCAACUCCAACAUCUAGUAUUUGUUAUAGCUCCUUAAUGUUUCAGCAGCACUGGUGGACAUGAUGAGGUCUGAGUCCAAAGAAACAAAGGAUGGAGAUUUAAACUGUUUGACUAUAAAAUACUUAGUUUGCUUUCCUCCCUGUCUCAAGGCUAUGGUUUUUCUGGUGGUCAUGUAUGGAUGUGAAAGUUGGACUGUCAAGAAGGCUGAGCACCAAAGAAU